rnacentral:tRNA from 2 species
CAUUUGAUAUCUAAAAAUUAGAAUUGAUUUUUUAAAUCAAAUAAUAGUAAAAUAAUGCCUACUUCAAAUGA